CAGUCGCCGCGGUAAUACGUAGGGUGCAAGCGUUAAUCGGAAUUACUGGGCGUAAAGCGUGCGCAGGCGGUUAUAUAAGACAGAUGUGAAAUCCCCGGGCUCAACCUGGGAACUGCAUUUGUGACUGUAUAGCUAGAGUACGGCAGAGGGGGAUGGAAUUCCGCGUGUAGCAGUGAAAUGCGUAGAUAUGCGGAGGAACACCGAUGGCGAAGGCAAUCCCCUGGGCCUGUACUGACGCUCAUGCACGAAAGCGUGGGGAGCAAACAGGAUUAGAUACCCCCGAGUCCCUGUCUCUUAUACA
rnacentral:rRNA from 1 species